rfam:Medicago truncatula strain A17 chromosome 7, whole genome shotgun sequence.
UGUCGAGGAAAUCCUCGGUAGUUAACUGCAGCCGGUUUCGUAUUUCCUCGGCAGUUAACUACCGAUGGGGUAU